rnacentral:miRNA from 1 species
CUGGUAAAGCCUUCUGCCUAA